GAGAAUAAUACACGAUAGAUCAUAAUGCCUGGAAUGGUUUAUGAUUAAAAUGAUUUAUCGCCGUAGGAUGGGACUGCGGCCUAUCAGCUUGUUGGUGAGGUAAUGGCCCACCAAGGCUAUAACAGGUACGGGCUCUGAGAGGAGAAGCCCGGAGAUGGGUACUGAGACACGGACCCAGGCCCUAUGGGGCGCAGCAGGCGAGAAACCUUAGCAAUGUGCGAAAGCACGACUAGGUUAAUCCGAGUGAUUUCUGCUGAAGAAAUCUUUUGUCAGUUCUAAAACUACUAAUGAAUAAGGGGUGGGCAAGUCUGGUGUCAGCCGCCGCGGUAAUACCAGCACCUCGAGUGGUCAGGAGGUUUAUUGGGCCUAAAGCAUCCGUAGCCGGCUUUGCAAGUCUCCGGUUAAAUCCAACUGCUCAACAGAUGGGCUGCCGGAGAUACUACAAAGCUAGGGAGCGGGAGAGGCAGACGGUAUUCGGUGGGUAGGGGUAAAAUCCUCUGAUCCAUUGAGGACCACCAGUGGCGAAGGCGGUCUGCCAGAACGCGUUCGACGGUGAGGGAUGAAAGCUGGGGGGAGCAAACCGGAUUAGAUACCCGGGUAGUCCCAGCUGUAAACGAUGCA
rnacentral:rRNA from 1 species